rnacentral:sRNA from 1 species
UGAAGCGCGGGAAUCCGCCGGCCCGGCUGCCCUCUAAGGGUGAGAAGGGCGUCCCUGCGAGGAGCCGACAUGAUUCCCGGACGUCUGUGUGCCCGGUGGUGUGGGCGCGGCUGCUGAUACCCUCAAAAAGUUAUGGAUAAAAUACUUAGUAUGGCUGAAGGCAUCAAAGUGACAGAUGCUCCAACCUAUACAACAAGAGAUGAACUGGUUGCCAAGAAGGGGUAGAAGAGCCAUCCAAAAAACGAGUUAUAGAAGGAAAAAACAGUUCUGCAGUUGAGCAAGAUCACGCAAAAACUUCUGCCAAGACAGAACGUGCAUCAGCUCAGCAGGAAAACAGUUCAACGUGUACAGGGUCGGCCAUCAAAUCAGAGAGUGGGAACUCAGCUCGGAGCUCUGGCAUCUCCAGUCAGAAUAGCUCUACAAGUGAUGGAGAUCGUUCUGUUUCCAGCCAAAGCAGCAGCAGCGUUUCCUCUCAGGUAACGACUGCGGGAUCUGGGAAAGCUUCUGAAGCAGAAGCUCCAGAUAAACACGGUUCUGCGUCAUUUGUUUCUUUGCUGAAAUCCAGUGUGAAUAGUCACAUGACCCAAUCCACUGAUUCUAGACAACAAAGUGGAUCACCUAAAAAGAGUGCUUUGGAAGGCUCUUCAGCCUCAGCUUCUCAAAGCAGCUCAGAGAUCGAGGUGCCCUUGUUGGGCUCCUUGGGAAGCUCAGAAGUAGAAUUGCCACUGUUGUCUUCCAAACCUAGUUCAGAGACAGCUUCAAGUGGGUUAACUUCCAAAACUAGUUCAGAGGCAAGUGUUUCAUCAUCAGUUGCUAAAAACAGUUCCUCAUCAGGCACAUCCUUACUGACUCCCAAGAGCAGCUCUUCAACAAAUACAUCGCUGCUAA